GACGAACGCUGGCGGCGUGCUUAACACAUGCCAGUCGAACGGAAAGGCCCUGCUUUUGUGGGGUGCUCGAGUGGCGAACGGGUGAGUAACACGUGAGUAACCUGCCCUUGACUUUGGGAUAACUUCAGGAAACUGGGGCUAAUACCGGAUAGGAGCUCCUGCUGCAUGGUGGGGGUUGGAAAGUUUCGGCGGUUGGGGAUGGACUCGCGGCUUAUCAGCUUGUUGGUGGGGUAGUGGCUUACCAAGGCUUUGACGGGUAGCCGGCCUGAGAGGGUGACCGGCGACAUUGGGACUGAGGGACGGCCCAGAAUCCUACGGGAGGCAGCAGUGGGGAAUAUUGCACAAUGGGCGGAAGCCUGAUGCAGCAACGCCGCGUGCGGGAUGACGGCCUUCGGGUUGUAAACCGCUUUCGCAUGUGACGAAGCGUGAGUGACGGUAAUGGGUAAAGAAGCACCGGCUAACUACGUG
rnacentral:rRNA from 1 species